GAUGAACGCUGGCGGCGUGCCUAAUACAUGCGAGUCGAGCGAACAGACGAGGAGCUUGCUCCUCUGACGUUAGCGGCGGACGGGUGAGUAACACGUGGAUAACCUACCUAUAAGACUGGGAGAACUUCGGGAAACCGGAGCUAAUACCGGAUAAUAUAUUGAACCGCAUGGUUCAAGAGUGAAAGACGGUUUUGCUGUCACUUAUAGAUGGAUCCGCGCCGCAUUAGCUAGUUGGUAAGGUAACGGCUUACCAAGGCAACGAUGCGUAGCCGACCUGAGAGGGUGAUCGGCCACACUGGAACUGAGACACGGUCCAGACUCCUACGGGAGGCAGCAGUAGGGAAUCUUCCGCAAUGGGCGAAAGCCUGACGGAGCAACGCCGCGUGAGUGAUGAAGGUCUUCGGAUCGUAAAACUCUGUUAUUAGGGAAGAACAAAUGUGUAAGUAACUAUGCACGUCUUGACGGUACCUAAUCAGAAAGCCACGGCUAACUACGUG
rnacentral:rRNA from 1 species